GGAUCCUACCCGUACACGAUUUUUGUGCAGCGGGCCUCUAGUUGUAAAUAAGAUGUUACAGGAACCAAAUAGUAUAGAUCUUUUUUUAAUGAACUAAUCUCUCAAAUACAGUAUUUAUUCAGGCAGAAAUGAUGUAAAACCAGAACUCCCGGAAACUUUUACACUGUUUUUGUUAACUCUGCAGAGGAUUAUAGGAAACUGAACUAGCUCCCAGGAUAAGAAUCCUGUUCGGGACUCAUACCUCUUUAAGAGGAUAUACCUGCCAUUCCAAAUGACUAACUGUGAGAGCACCAAAAAGCACCACGAUCGAUUGAAUGGGUGUUGUUGUUUUUUAAAUCCUCCUCUAAAACGUGAAGACAAGCACUGGUGAGCACACUAGACCGAGAAUCACUGUGAAUGCCUAGGUGGGUAGUAGUGAGUCCCAGCAAAACUCAGAGAUAUGGCAUCUGUGUAGUUCUCACACUGUCGGAGCAUGAGACAUUCGCAGAGUGCUUUAGCAUGAUCAUCACUAUGACAUAAACAAAAUCAGCACCGUCGCCUUGCUGUUCUGACUUGUUUCUGAAAUUUCACUGAAUACCUCACUAAGUCAGGGAGCCGUGUGUGGUACCAGAGACGGGACCUGGAGUUACAGAGUAAGAGCCAGAGCAGAGGCCAGGCUGAGGCUGGGCGGGGUGAGGGCCAUCCUCCCGCUUUGGUGUGUCCAGGAAUUCUCAGCAGAACUAAGCCCUUGUGGAAAGAUACUAUGGCCUUGGUACUUCCCGCCACAGGAACAGUGUGGCCCCUCCCACACCAUCAGCUACAUCCAAUCUAUAUUGUUCACAUGGCUUCAGAGGAGAUGCUAACAUUGCCAACAUGAAAGGAUGGUUAUGUUUCAUGAGCUCCACGGACCACCACGGCGGAGCAGCCUGUGGCCUGAGACACUAAUAACUGAUGCAGGCUCUCCUUCACCAAAGCCAAGUGCUCUUCGGACUUUAACAAUAGAAGCUGACUUCUGUGCCAACUCUUCCCGCAAAUGCUUUUCAUCAAUAAGCUUUUUUGCAAGUGUGUCUAAUAAUAAAGCCCAUGAUCUCUU